rnacentral:tRNA from 1 species
GCCCCGGUGGCCGAGCGGCUAAGGCGUUGGGCUGCAGCGUUCGGUUUAUCACGAAUGCAGAGACCCAAUCUUCCCGGGUUCGAAUCCCGGCCGGGGCU